AGCAGCCGCGGUAAUUCCAGCUCCAAUAGCGUAUAUUAAAGUUGUUGCAGUUAAAAAGCUCGUAGUUGAAUUUCGGGAUCAGUGGGUCGGUCGUGCCACUGGUAUGUACUGGCCCUACUGGUUCCUCCUUCUUGAAGAACUGUAAUGCCAUUAAUUUGGUGUUGCAGGGAAACAGGACUGUUACUUUGAAAAAAUUAGAGUAGUUUAAAGCAGGCAAUCGCUUGAAUACAUUAGCAUGGAAUAAUGAAAUAGGACGUUCGAUCCUAUUUUGUUGGUUUCUAGGAUUGACGUAAUGAUUAAUAGGGAUAGUUGGGGGCAUUAGUAUUCAAUUGUCAGAGGUGAAAUUCUUGGAUUUAUUGAAGACUAACUACUGCGAAAGCAUCUGCCAAGGAUGUUUUCAUUAAUCAAGAACGAAAGUUAGGGGAUCGAAGACGAUCAGAUACCGUCGUAGUCUUAACCAUAAACUAUGCCGACUAGGGAUCGGAUGAUGUUAAUUUUUUAAUGUACUCAUUCGGCGUCC
rnacentral:rRNA from 1 species